GAUGAACGCUGGCGGCGUGCCUAAUACAUGCAAGUCGAGCGAACGGACGAGAAGCUUGCUUUUCUGAUGUUAGCGGCGGACGGGUGAGUAACACGUGGAUCACCUACCUAUAAGACUGGGAUAACUUCGGGAAACCGGAGCUAAUACCGGAUAAUAUUUUGAACCGCAUGGUUCAAAAGUGAAAGACGGUCUUGCUGUCACUUAUAGAUGGAUCCGCGCUGCAUUAGCUAGUUGGUAAGGUAACGGCUUACCAAGGCAACGAUGCAUAGCCGACCUGAGAGGGUGAUCGGCCACACUGGAACUGAGACACGGUCCAGACUCCUACGGGAGGCAGCAGUAGGGAAUCUUCCGCAAUGGGCGAAAGCCUGACGGAGCAACGCCGCGUGAGUGAUGAAGGUCUUCGGAUCGUAAAACUCUGUUAUUAGGGAAGAACAUAUGUGUAAGUAACUGUGCACAUCUUGACGGUACCUAAUCAGAAAGCCACGGCUAACUACGUG
rnacentral:rRNA from 1 species